ensembl:lincRNA
GUGAUGUAAUAUCCUCUAACCUAGGGGAUUUCUUGUACUUAUUAGGCAUCCGGGUAAUAUUUGGAAUCUCCCUGGCAGGCUGUCAUAGAUUGUGAGAUACAGAACAGUAAAGAACAUAAUCUGCUUCAUCCUUUCCUCUUAUUACUUUACAGACGAGGAAACAGAGGCCCACAAAAUGUGAAAUGGCACAUCAUAUGUCUCAUUGAUGGUGUGGGCCAAGGACAGCCACACCAGAUUCAAGCUGCCUCCUUAUCUCGAUAGUGUCCCAGAAUCCCGCAGGAGCCGUGGACCAUUGCCCUGUCAUCCUCUGUAUCAGUGCCAGUUAACAUCAUGCGAGUUAACAUCCUACGGCCCAGGCUGAACCACUGAGAUGGGAAGCUCAAGUUGGCAUCUGAACCCACAGGACUGUUUCAACAGCUGACUGUGUGGCCCUAAGAGGCUGACUAUGUGGACCCAAGAAAGCCUGCUUUGAUAGUCCCUUCCUGGAUAGUGAAGGGGUCACAGCGGCUUUGGGGAUGUGGCCCUCCGGUUCCGUUCACUGAGGUGAUCGGUUCUGAGGGACCGCCCCGCAUGCUGGUGCACGACCCUGCUGUUGGGCUGUCCUGCCAUCUUUCACCAUCGUUGGCACCGCUGCCACUGCUCCGGGUGACGCAAGCAGGGGGCUGAUGGAAACAGAAAGCGCAUGUACCCAGAUGGAUGUUUCCCAGCGAGAGCAACAACAGUUUCCCCAUCUCUUCUCUUGGGAUCGUGCAACCUGGGAAUAAAGCUCAGAAUGUUGGGGAGCAAUACGGCUGUGCAGAAAGUGGACUUCAAGCCUGUAACUUGGUAUCAUAUAGGGAAGAGUGGCCACCCAGGCUCCACCUUCACUCCAGAAUGAACACACAUGGAGUGUGUAAACUUCAGACAAAACUUACACGUGCCAAGAACAAUCAUAGUUAAACACUUUUCCCAUUGAGGGAAUAUGAAGAUAUAAUAGAUACUCAAACUGGUUAUGGAUAGCUGAAGUCCUAUGCAUGAAUAUAUAUAUUGAUAUGUUAAUAUAUUUAUACAUCUAUCUACUGCUGCUGCUGCUGCCGCUAAGUCGCUUCAGUCAUGUCCAACUCUGUGCGACCCCAUAGACGGCAGCCCACCAGGCACCCCGUCCCUGGGAUUCUCCAGGCAAGAACACUGGAAUGGGUUGCCAUUUCCUUCUCCAAUGUCUGAAAGUGAAAAGCGAAAGUGAAGUUGCUCAGUCAUGUCCGACUCCUAGCGACCCCAUGGACUGCAGCCCACCAGGCUCCUCCGUCCAUGGGAUUUUCCAGGCAAGAGAACUGGAGUGGGGUGCCAUUACCUUUUCUGUAUAUCUAUCUAUAUUUCUCUUAAAAAGCAAAGAAAUAGAAUACUAACUGUCUAGGUUGUAAAGACAAUGACUGAAAUAAAAGAACAUUCAGAGUGAUUUAUAAAAAUCUGUUAAUUCUGAUUUGCCCAUAUUAGGCAACUUGAAAAUUAUACCUUUCUGUCACCAGCCCAUGACGUAAGAAGUUCACAUAAUGUAUGCAAAUGUAAAUGUCAACCUUUGGGGUAUCUGCAACCUCCCACAAUUUACUUGGUUAUUAUAUUUUUAGCUGGCCUUGAGUUUUGGCUUACUUUAAAGAGAACUGGUUAAAUGUGCCAUUUAAAGAAGGGUAUUUCAAAUAACAAGGUUCUUCAAAAAUUGUAGUUGAAAUUCACUUUCAUUAUUAUGUAUAGCCUCUACUCUAGUGUAAAUAUUUAUGGGAAAUGUGGAAAUGGAUGAAAAAAUGUGAUUUGUUUGGAUAAUGUUUGUUUAAUUAUAAAGAGGUGGAGUCCUGCAGGAAUGAUUCAAUUAGCCCAUCUCUGAUAUCAAUCCAUGAAUAAAACCUCAUUCACACAAAAUCUAGAGACAAAUUUAUUUCUACACUUUUUCCCCAAUAGAGUAGAUUUUUCACUUUGGUGACUAAAUAUAUACAGAUUUAGGUCAUUGAGGCAAAUAACUGUCUCAUACAAAUAUCAUUAUGAAAAUAGUAAGUGCUAAGAAAUUAAUUGGUUAAAGACUUUAAUCUUGCUAUUGUUAGUAUUGAAAUGUUUUAAAACCCAUGUGCUGAUAUGAUGUGAGUAGCUCUCUCUGCCAUUCUUAAAGCUGACAUCCUCACUCUUCACCAAAUAGGCACAUCCAGGUGACUCAACUUUAGAGCAGAGAAAGACAAACUACAGACUCCAGGCCGAAUCUAGCCCUUAUUUGUUUUUGUAAAUAAUAUGUUAUUAGAACACAGCAACAUCCAUUUGUUUAAUCACUGUUUAUGGCAGUGUUCUUGCUAUAGUGGUAGAGUUAAAUAGUUGCAACGGAGACUGUACAGCUCUCGAGUUUAAAAUAUUUACUAUCUGGCCCUUUAGAAAAAACUUUGAUGACCUCCGCCUUAGAGCCACAUCAAAGAGCGUAAUAUAUGAAACAGUCUUGUAAUUUGAGAUAUCGCAAUCUCAUAGGCUCACAGCUGGCUUCAUCACAUUUUC